rnacentral:rRNA from 1 species
GAUGAACGCUAGCUACAGGCUUAACACAUGCAAGUCGAGGGGAAACGAUAGAGAAAGCUUGCUUUUUCUAGGCGUCGACCGGCGCACGGGUGAGUAACGCGUAUCCAACCUGCCCACCACUUGGGGAUAACCUUGCGAAAGUAAGACUAAUACCCAAUGAUAUCUCAAGAAGACAUCUGAAUGAGAUUAAAGAUUUAUCGGUGACGGAUGGGGAUGCGUCUGAUUAGCUUGUUGGCGGGGUAACGGCCCACCAAGGCGACGAUCAGUAGGGGGUCUGAGAGGAAGGUCCCCCACAUUGGAACUGAGACACGGUCCAAACUCCUACGGGAGGCAGCAGUGAGGAAUAUUGGUCAAUGGGCGAGAGCCUGAACCAGCCAAGUAGCGUGCAGGAUGACGGCCCUAUGGGUUGUAAACUGCUUUUAUAAGGGAAUAAAGUGAGUCUCGUGAGACUUUUCGCAUGUACCUUAUGAAUAAGGACCGGCUAAUUCCGUGCCAGCCGCCGCAGUAA